rnacentral:rRNA from 1 species
UACGUAGGGUGCGAGCGUUGUCCGGAAUUAUUGGGCGUAAAGAGCUUGUAGGCGGUUUGUCGCGUCUGCUGUGAAAAUCCGGGGCUCAACCCCGGACUUGCAGUGGGUACGGGCAGACUAGAGUGUGGUAGGGGGAGACUGGAAUUCCUGGUGUAGCGGUGAAAUGCGCAGAUAUCAGGAGGAACACCGAUGGCGAAGGCAGGUCUCUGGGCCACUACUGACGCUGAGAAGCGAAAAGCAUGGGGGAGCGAACAGG